GUAUUUGCCUGGCAGGAGUGAUUCUAGGAACCCAAAGGUAGUUUUCCCAGGGUGAGGUUUAUCCAUUGCACUCAAGAUGGGCUGACCCCCUGUGAUUUCUCCAAGAGUAGGAAAUUCAACUGCAUAAUUUGUGCUAGUAAGCAACUGCAUUUGUGGCCAUCUCUGG
ensembl:snRNA U1 U1 spliceosomal RNA